GCCGAAUUGAGACUUUAGAGAAAGUUGUUACUGGAGAUGAUUAUAAAGAAGAGCUUGAAAACGGUAAUGCCGAGUUUGAAACGGUGUCGUGUGAGUGAUUCGGGAGCGGAUGAGGACGAUUUUUCUGGGAAUAAUAAUCGGAAGAAGAGGAAGAGUAGUGGUGGGUAUUACCCUUUGCAUCUGCUUGGUGAGGUUGCCGCUGGUAUAAUUCCGUUUAAUGGUUACCGUAUUCAGACAAUUCUAGCCGCCGGAGGUGACGGUGGAGCUGCGGCGGCAGCGGCGGCGUCGUGGUGCACGGAGGUUUCACGCUGUGCUGGUGAGGCUGAGAUGAAUUCCCCGCCGAAACAGAGGAGUAAUCCAGUGAAUGAGGCUUCACGGCCGCCAUUAGUGAGGACUUCAAGGGGGCGUGUUCAGGUACUUCCGUCUAGAUUUAAUGACUCUGUUCUCGAUAAUUGGAAGAAAGAGAAGAGUAAAACUACUGUAAAAGAAUCAACUUUGGACCCUGAAUUUAAUCCGUAUAGAGAAAAAGGUAGCUUGAAAAACGCCAAACGUGAAAUUGGAACUAAGAAGCGUGUGGAUGACAGGGUAAAUUACCAAUGUCGUGUGUUUUCG
rnacentral:misc_RNA from 1 species